rnacentral:misc_RNA from 1 species
GCCUAUAGUUGACGUAAUUACUAACAUGCCUGUGCAAAAAUAUCUUCAGGUAUCAGAGCUCGAGCAAGAUUUCUGACAAAAUCAGCAGCUAGCUUUAGUUUGCAUCUGUUCCUGAAUCGCCUUGUAGCAUUGUAGGCUGCAAAGCGGAAGCUUUGACUUCGAAUCUCUAUAUUUUUUGGGGUUAGUACAUGAAGGGCCUGCACACUGUUCGCGCAAAGGUGGGUAGCUGCAGGCUUUAUUGUAGAAAAUACUAGGGAAACCCAUCUCCUUGGGGAAUGUCACAACAGUCCCAUUUGGUCCCAUGACCCAUCUGAUGGUGUUUGAUGCACGCUUCAGGGCAUUAGCAACCUUCUCCUUCGCUAACUCUUCCUGAAGCUUCUUUAUUUCGUCUUCUCGCUUCCUUCUGCUGGAAUUUUGACCAAGUAUUUUUCUAAUAGCCUCAGCCUCAGAUUCCCUUGCAGCCUUCUCAACUUGUAUUCUANGUCUCUGAGCAGCGUCAGCCUUCUUUAGUUGCUGCUCCACUUCAGAAAGUUUCUCCUUUUGCUUUCUUAGUGGUGCAGGUGGUAAUCCAUUUGAAAACUCAAUUAAGUUGGCACCAUGUGCAGAGCCAUCUUUGCUUGACUGAAGGGCUCGUUGACGUGUAGUUAGCUUCAUCUCCCUCUUACCAUCCAUCAAUGUAUCAACGGAUUCCUUUUUCUGCUCAAGCUCACCCUCAGAGGCCAGAUCUUCUUCCUUGUAAUCUGUGUCCUUUGAUGCUAUGUCUAAUGAAGACUUCUUCUUCCCAUCAUUCACCAACUUUGAAGCACCAAUUUUCUCCAUGCUGGAAAGCUUCUGCUGUUUCUUGUUUGAUUCUUCAUCACCUUUAUAUCCUGCAGCAAUCUUUGGAGUUUUCAGUUUCGUCAGGUAUCGAAUCUCAUCAUCCUCAUAGAAUUCACCAAUUUCCAAGUCCAAUACACGCCUCUUGGGGAACCGCUUGCUCACAUGAACUGGUUGAGAUUUCUCCCCAUGUUUUCCUGAUGCAUUCUUCCCAGAAGUACCGUCUUUCCCAAGACUAAAACCACCUGCGGAAAAAUCCUUCCAGGGGACACCUUG